rnacentral:tRNA from 1 species
GACUCAUUCGUCUAGAGGUUAGGACGCUGGAACUUCACUCCGGAAAUGUAGGGUUCGAGUCCCUCAUGAGUCACCA